rnacentral:lncRNA from 1 species
ACUACAACAAAAACGGUCUAUAGCAAUACUUUUAAAUGUAGGUACAUGUCAAAAAAGUGCUGCUAGCUAAAAUUACCGACACUUUUAAAAAAUGUUGCUAUAUGUGGGAUCGCUAGGUAUAUAGUGACAGUUAAAGAGUGUCGCUAUAACCUAAAAGAGUGCUGCUAAUUUACCAACACUUAUUUAAGCAUUUAGCAACCGCCGAAACUCUAUCUCGUUGGCUGCGGUGGCGGAGAAGGACGACAGUAAAGGCUCUUCGUCUAGAAUUUCAGUGGAUUGAGUGAAGAGAGAAGAAAAGAUGGUAAUUGAUUUUUCUUUUUUUUUCUUUUCUGUUUGUAAUCGGGCCAAAUGGACUGAGUGUGGUGGGUUGAGCAGAGUAAUCUUUUAUUUUUGGUUGGAUUGGGCUUUAUAUUUAGGCAUUAGUAGAUGUGUUUUUAAGUUUUAGUAUAAAUGGGACACUUACUCAAAAGUGUCCCAAACACGUGUCCCUAUAACCUAAUUCUGUUAUAGUGCCGGUACACUUUGGGCCCGACAGCAAAAUGAGGUCUGCUCCAAAAUAUAAAGAUUGGGAGGGCUUUUUGGCAAAUGUUACAACAUGUUAAUAGCCCAAUACCCCUUCCCUUCACAGCCAACAACCAAACACCUCUCUCUCCCUCAUUUCUUUCACUUUCUCUCUCUAGAAAGCUCUCCAAGAUGUGGAGUUGGAGGAGAUUGGAAGAAAAAAGCUUGGGAUUUGGAGGACUAAGAGGCUAGGGUUCUCUCCUACAAGGUGGACUUUGGAGAGCUUUGGGCCAAGGUGAGGUUUUGUGUAAGAUUAGGCUUAGGGCUUGAGUUUUGAUGCCCUAAACCUUUGGGUUUUUACCUUUUAGCUAGAUUAGAAACCUCUAAUGGCUAUAGAACACAUGGAAACAAGAUGUUUCCAUGUGCUCUCAUGGUAGAAACCCUAGGGUUGGGUUUUGUGCCCUAGAAUGGAGUUGAGAGGUAUAGAAAACAAUUAAAAUGAGUUUCUAAACUUAGAAUAAGCUCUCUUUUGCUUGUUUUAGAGAUCAAAACCUAUGAGUUUGCUAAUAGUGACAUUAGGGCACCAAAUUUGGGGCUUUUGCCUCUGAGUGUUUCUAAGACAAAUUGACCUUGUAGAAACCUAAUUAGGGAUAUUCCCGACGCGUGGGACAACUCUGUUUAACGUUACGAAAAGAUUUAGAUGGAGUUAUUGAUAAAAAAGCCUAAUUCGGCUUCGUUUUUGCCGCAGGCAAAAAAGUAAAGCUUCAAAAAUUCCAAGAAAUUCACCGUAGCAUCCUCACAACCUUCUAAGGUGGGUGGUGCAUUCCAAGGAUCUCGAAAAUCUCUUUAUGUCUAAGUGUCAUGUUUUGAGCAUAUGUAUAUAUUUGAGCAUUUUGCAUAAUAGGGUUCAAUUGUGAACUUUUUAUAGCAUGAUGUAAAUUCAAAUGCAUAUUAAAUACUUGUAAGAAUGUGAAAAUGAUAAUCCCUAUGCAUGCAUGAAUGUGACAAGAACCUAGAGGGUUAGUAAACAAAAGUGACACCAUGACAUAGAUCUAACGAGUGGCAUUGAUGAGUCUAGAACACUUAGAAAAUAAGUGUGACAUUUGGCAUGAGAACAAGAAUAUAGCACUUAGAAAAUAAGUGUGGCAUGAGUACAAGAACUUAGUAGUGUAUAUGACACUAGUAAUAGUAAAGAAUGCAAAGAAAAAAAUGAUUGAGACAUUAUGACAUUUCAACCUUAGAGUUAAGAGUCAUUUGAGCAUGGUCUUCCUUAAAGUUAAGGAAUGGAUUGAACUUGGAAUCCUCAAUGUAGGAUUGAUUGUACUCACCUUUAGUCCUUGCUCGAGGGUGGUAGCUCCCCCUCAGGCGAUGUGCUCCGGAGUUAACAUCACUGGAUUGUAGCGGGUAUCUUCCCAGAGGACGGUCCUAUCGGGUUGUAGCGGGUAUUUCCCCGGUUAUUAGGAUUUUGGGUUGCUAAGUUUGUUGAGGGAGAAACCUACGGAUUAGCCAAGAGAUUGGGUAAAAAAAUUGUGAUCUUGCAUUUAUCAUGAGCAUUAUAUCGAGCAUCGCAUUUUAUAUUGUUCAGUCAUAUUAGUUGCAUUUGUUAGUUGGUUACUUUCUUUCCUCUAUUCUAUUAUGCCUGAUUAGACCUAGUGGGAUAGUCGGCGUGGUUGGUUGCCGAAUCCACUGGAAACUUUGUUGUAGUUCUCACACCCCUAUUUCCACAGAGCCGGGACCGAGCGAGCCGGCUGACGAUCACAGUAAGGGCAUCGCGCUCUAGUUAGAGACCUCCCGAGUGGUUAUCUUUUUGUAGUCGCAUACCCUCUAUUUAUACAUCAUCUUUUGUAUCUUGAUGAUUAUACUAUUAUGAACAUGUUAAAUGAAUGAUAUAAAAGAGUUUAUGUUUAAAUGCAAGAAUUUAUAUUUGAGAUCAUGCGAUGUAAAAGAGAAGAAAUGAUGCAAAAUUGUAAUUAAUUUCCUAAGUGUAGUUUAUUACUUUCACUAUUGGCUAUUGCUUGCCCUCGUGCAAGCCACUGUGUAUACUUCCGCUUAUGCAAACUUUAUACUCUAUCUGUACCUAUUGUUGAGCCUUGGGAGGACAGGGGAGGCUCUGUCCGUUCGGCGUCUGUAUGACGCUCUCGAACUGGCCAAAAGGAUCGGGCUCAGGGCAUAACAAUCCUAUUAAUAGGAUAGUAGCCCUAGCCUAUAUAUAUAUAUAUAUAUAUAUAUAUAUAUAUAUAUUAUAGCUGAAUACUAUUAAUAUUAAAAGAAAAAUUGUAGAGUCAAAGGAAGAUAUUAGUCGCUUAGAGUUGAGUGGCCCCACUGGGUUAUAGAAUAUUUUAAUCCAAUGGUUAGAAAUAAUGAAAAGAGUUGAUCCAAAGCCAAAAACUGGUAGCAAAAUGAGAUUUUGCUACUAAUACUAGCCCAGUCCAACUCUAUAUAUUAUAUAUAUAUAUAUAUAUAUAUAUAUAAUAUAUAUAUAAUAGAUAUAAUAUAUUUGUGUGUGUGUGUGUGUGUGUGUGUGUGUGUGUAGAACUAGGCUCCUGCGCUUUCGAAAGCAUGAAAACCCUUGUGUUUGUAAUUUUUCUUUUGAUGAUGGGGCAUUCGAUUCAUCAAUCAGCUUUAUUAAGUAUGACCUAUGCUACUAGAAGUAUUUAGAAACCAAAUUUCAUAAUUUUUUUAUUUUAUUUGCCUAGUGAACGAGUAGCCUUAAAAUGAACGACUGAAAAUAAAAAUCUCAUAAAAGAUAGUGAUAAAAGACUCAAAUAUCAAAUCAUAAGUAUUGUUCUUUCUCUUCGUGUUAAGUAGAAUUUUCUAUUAAAGUUUCAUGUAAUUUGCAUUUUUCUGCACCGUUGAAUUUACAAACGUGUCACAUCAGCCGUUAAAAUAGUUAUUUUUGUGACCCUUUGAUCACAUGAUAAAUGAUAUUGAAAAAUUAUAAAAUUUGGUUUCUAAAUAGUUAUAAAAGUAUAGAUCAUAUUUAACAGAGCUAAUCAUCGAAUCGGAUGUCCCUUCAUAAAAAAUAAUUUACAUAUAUGGAGACUUCUGUACUUUCGAAAGCGUAGAAAAUGUACCCUAUAUAUAUAGAGAGUUCAGCUAGACACUACAACAAAAACGGACAAUCGGUAUAGGUCAAAAAAAGUGUUGCUGGCUAAAUUACCGACACUUUUAAAAAGUGUUGCUAUAUGUGGGGUCGCUAGGUAUAUAGUGACAGUUAAAGAGUGUCGCUAUAACCUAAAAAGAGUACUGCUAAUUUACCAAUACUUAAACAUUUAGCAACCGCCGGAACUCUACCUCGUUGGCUGUGGUGGUGAAGGAGGACGAGAGGGAAGGGCUCUUCGUCUAGGAUUUCAGUAGAUUGAGUGAGGGGAGAAGAGGAGAUAGUAAUCAAUUUUUCUUCUUUUUUUAUUUUCUGUUUUUAAUCGGGCCGAAUGGGCUGAAUGAGGUGGGUUGAGUAAAGUAACUUUUUAUUUUUGAUUGAAUUGGGCUUUAGAUUUAGGCAUUAGUAGAUUUUUUUUUAAGUUUUGGCAUAAAUGGGACACUUAUAUAAAAGUGUCCUAAACAUGUGUCCCUAUAAUCCAAUUCUAUUAUAAAAUACUCUCAAAAGCACCAAGGAGUUGAUGCUUUUGAGUUUUUAGCUAUUGGAUGAAGAGACGUAGGGUUGAGAUGAUAGUGGUAGGUGGUGGUAGAUGGAAUAGUGUUUGAUCCAAAGGUUAUUAGU